GACGAACGCUGGCGGCGUGCUUAACACAUGCAAGUCGAGCGGUAAGGCCCUUCGGGGUACACGAGCGGCGAACGGGUGAGUAACACGUGGGUGACCUGCCCUCAGCUCUGGGAUAAGCCUGGGAAACCGGGUCUAAUACCGGAUAUGACUCCAUGACGCAUGUUGUGGGGUGGAAAGCCUUGUGCGGCUGAGGAUGGGCCCGCGGCCUAUCAGCUUGUUGGUGGGGUGAUGGCCUACCAAGGCGACGACGGGUAGCCGGCCUGAGAGGGCGACCGGCCACACUGGGACUGAGACACGGCCCAGACUCCUACGGGAGGCAGCAGUGGGGAAUCUUGCGCAAUGGGCGAAAGCCUGACGCAGCGACGCCGCGUGAGGGAUGAC
rnacentral:rRNA from 1 species